UAAGAACCAGCACAUGGUUUGCUGUGUGCCUUUUGCCACUUCUGCAAGGUGGACAAUGGUCCAGAAAGAGGCUGCUUCGGCAGUCGGGAUUCCAAAGGAGAUGAACAAGCUGGGACAUAGUCAACCUGUGAGGGACACGAAGCUGGAGCAAGAAAGAAGUUUUUGUGGCAGAUAUAAACCUGGGGUAUCUUCACCACCACAUGAACGGGACUACCAGAGAAUGAAGUCAACAUGGAGCACUUCAACAGCUACCCCUUGCUGUCUUCUUCUAUUGCAAGGUUGUGAAUGUGGGGCUUCCAGGGGCCGUGUUCACAGCCCCAUGGGAAAGGCCUGCAGAAAGAACAAAGUCAAACAGAGACAAGUAGAGGAAAGAUUUCCUCCCAGAUAAAAACAGGCACACCAAGAGAUGCUCACUCAUACUUUGUGCUUUUGGACACUGUGAUGUAAAUACACAGUGCAUCGAGUGCUGGCAGCCAUCUUGUGACCAUGAGGCAAAACCCCAGAAAAUCUCAGUGAGCAGACAUACAGCCCUGAUGUCAACAAGCUGCUGAAUUCACCAACUCUGCAAAUACCAACCUCCAAAUCUUUUGAUGUGUGAGAUAAUAAACCCCUAUUGUCUAAGCUACUCUUGCAGCUGAAAUCCUCCUUAAAUGUUAUUCAAGGACUUUACAUAUUGUGUAAUUGUUCUUGCUAGCAAUGCACUAUUUUUAGGCUUAACAGGCAAC
rnacentral:lncRNA from 1 species